rnacentral:misc_RNA from 1 species
GCCUUGCUUUGAGCAUUUAUUUGCGUUGGCUUUAUAUCACAUUGCUAUAAUUUCGCAUAUCUGAUAUGCAUAUUAGUACGUCAUGGUUAAAUUCAAUUGCUUGUUCAUCAAAAUUAGCACUUAUCUCAUUUCAGUUUACCUGUCAUGAGAUGGGUUCAAUUAUGUGCCAUUUUCGCUAGUCUCAUCAUUGGCUGCAGUCACUGGUUUCCAAGGACGCCGGAGGUGAAGUUUUAUCGUCUACAUCGUGAUUUGCUGAAGGUGACCCGAGCAAGCCGCUGCCGAACAGACGUUUUACGGUGCGGAAAACAGUUUCCAGACCGCGCUUCCUGUCGACUGGUGGUGUACAGAGAGGCCGGCACAGCCUGGCUGAUGCCGGCCGGUCAGUCGGGCCGCCUCCGCUACUGCCGCUGUCACCCGGCCUGGUCGGGCAGCCGCUGCCAGCGCGCUGCCAACCCCUGUCAGACCUCCCCUUGUGCCGCCGGACGGCGCUGUGUCCGGAGUACCACCUCUGCCACCGGCUAUUCGUGCCUCUGUGCCGGUGGCGAUGGAGAUUGCUCACCUGUGGCCGCCCGCUCGCCUCGGCUGGCCGGCGGCACCUGUCGCGGUCGCCCCUGUGGUGUCGGAUGGCACUGCAAGGAGGACCCAACACAACCAGCCGGCUACUCUUGCGGUUGUGACCGUAAGCCCGGCUACCAACCAGCCUCAGAAACCGACCCCACCUGUGUGCAAACUGAUUUAUGUACGGCGCACCGGCCCUGUCGACACGGUGGAACCUGCCUGAGCCUUACCGGCGACUACCGGUGCCAGUGCGCCCCAGCCUGGACCGGCCGCAGCUGCGAGGCGCCCCUCAACCCGUGCCAUGAUGCCGAGCUCUGCACGGCCGGCUGGACGUGCCGCCGCGAGCCGCGAUCCCGCGCCGGCUACUCGUGCGGCUGUGAGGAGAAGCCCGGAUGGGCGCCACGCUCCGAGGACGACCCGCAGUGUGUGCUCCGAGACACGUGCCUCGCUCGCAGCCCGUGCCUCAACGGAGGAACGUGCGAGUCGGGCCCCAAAGACGGUUUUACGUGCCGCUGUCCAUCAGCUUGGCAUGGUGACACAUGUGAGAAACCACGAGACCCGUGUCGGACAGGUAACCCGUGUGGUGAGACGUGGAAGUGUCACAGAGACCCGGACUCACCCGCGGGCUUUUCGUGCAACUGUGGCUCUCGGCCGGGAUGGGCGGCCAAGUCAGAAGAGGACCCGCGCUGUGCGGUCUCCGACCCCUGUCUGACCGGAUCACCGUGCCUGAACGGAGGAAGCUGCCAGUACCUAUCACCGGGAGAGUUUAACUGCCAGUGCCGGUCGGCCUGGACCGGCCGCACGUGUGACGUGCCACGUGACCCGUGCGGCGAGUCGGACACGUGCGGCGCGGGCUGGAAGUGUCGCCGCGAUGCCAGUGCCGCGCUGGGCUUCACGUGCGGCUGUGACCACCGUCCGGGCUGGCGGGCUACCUCUGCCACCGACCCGCGCUGUGUACUGGUGGAGCCGUGCCGAGCCAAGGCUCCCUGUGGUAACGGCGGCACCUGUGUGCCCACUAUGGAAGACGGAGAGCCGGGGUUUCGGUGCCAGUGUCCUCUAGCCUGGGGCGGCCCCGUCUGUGCCGAGCCCCGGAAUCCUUGCGCCGCUGGGGACGCGCGCUGCGGUGCCGGCUGGUCCUGUCGUCGAGAUGAGACGAGUAAAGUCGGCUACAGCUGCGGCUGUGAGACACGCCGCGGCUGGAGGCCGCGCUCCUUGGACGAUCCGAGUUGCGUCCGGUCUGACUUCUGUCGGGUGCGGCGGCCGUGUCGUAACGGCGGCCGCUGCGGGCCGGGUACCACCACGGAGCCAUUCACCUGCCGCUGUCCGGGUGGCUGGCAGGGGCCGCUCUGCCAGCAGCCGCGCGACCCGUGCCGACUGGGCUCACCCUGCGGCGCUCAGGAUACCUGCCGACGUAACGCCACCGCACGGACCGGCUACAGCUGCCACUGCGAGCUGCGGCCCGGCUACCGGCCCCACUCCGGCUCCGAUCCACGUUGCGUUCUGGACGACGCGUGCGUGGCACAGGCGCCGUGUCUCCACGGUGGAUCGUGCACGGCCGGUCGCGCUGGUAAGCAGAGCUUCACGUGCACGUGCACGGCGGCCUGGUCGGGAGACCGCUGUGAGCUGCCGCGUGAUCCCUGCGUCCAGGAGCCAGAGACGGUGACUCGCGUGUGCGGUGCUAAAAGCGGCUGCUCGAGGGACACGAGCUCUGAGGUCGGUUUUGCGUGCGACUGUGACGCGCGGCCGGGCUGGCGGCGCCGCUCGAGCGCUGAUCCAGGCUGCAUGAUACAAGACGCCUGUCUAGCGCUGAAGCCGUGCCGACACGGAGGAACCUGCCGUAACGUGGCGGACCAGGCUGACGGCUUUUACCGCUGCUUCUGUCCCCCGGCCUGGACCGGUCGCAACUGCUCCGAGCCGCUCGACCCCUGCCUGGACCCCAAGAACGUCUGUAACAGCGGCUUCCGCUGUCGACGUAACCCGGAUCGGCCUCUGGGCUUCUCCUGCGGCUGUGACGAGAAACCUGGAUACCGUCCCAGUUCACCGACCAACCCUGACUGUGAGGUGUAUGACACGUGUCUCGCUCAGGAGCCGUGUGCAAAUGGCGGCCUCUGCUCCCCGGUCGGCGAGCGCAACUACUUCUGCGAGUGCAAGAAAAGCUGGACAGGGAGGACGUGUGAGAUCGUACUUGUGCCAUGUGAGGGAAUCCAGCACACAUGCGGUACCCGUUGGCGGUGUCACGUGGACAGUAAACAGCCACUGGGAUUCACGUGCGGCUGCAACUGGAAGCCCGGGUGGGUAGCAGCUGAGGACGGUCACUGUGUAGUCGCCGACGCGUGCUUGGCGUACGCACCAUGCGCCAACGGCGGCACGUGCAGUGCUGAGGGCGGCACCCUGUACUCAUGUCGCUGCCGUGCCGGCUGGGGCGGCACCACGUGUGAGGCGCCUGUCGAUCCGUGUACCGAAGGUGAGCCGUGCGGCUCCGGAUUCACGUGCCGCCGAGACACACAGAGCAGCACGGGGUUCUCUUGCGACUGUGAGCGGCGGCCCGGCUGGAGGCGGCAAUCUGAAGACGACCCUCGCUGCGCUCUUUAUGACAUCUGUCUGGCCGAUCCGCCGUGCGCGGCCGGAGCGCGGUGUCUGUCUCUGAGCGGAGGGGCAUUUCGCUGUGUGUGUCCUCCGGAGCGGCGCGGGACUCUCUGCGAGCAGCCAGUGGUCACCUCGGCUCCGCCGGCGCCAGUGCUUCCUCUGGUGCCGGUGCUCCUCCCUGAACCAUCCUCCUCACCGUCUCCCGAGGAUGAGGACGAGGAGGAGCCCAUGGGUGUCCUCAGGGAGCAGCCGGCCUUCAAACCGGUGCCGGACACACCAGUGCUGGUCGGCUUCAGACGCUUCCUGGAUGAGCUGGCCGUCAUAGCGCCCAAGCUGAAGUACGUGUUUAUGCUGGUGGGUCUGCUGAUUUUGCUGAUACUGCUGUUCCUGGUGUGUUUCGCCUGCUGCCGAAAACUGUACCGCUCCCGUCGCCGUGACCGCGAGUGCGAGUACCUGCUGAAGAAGGCCGACCUGGACCGUCGCUGCGAGCAGUACCUGCAGGCCAAGUACGGGUACGGUGCGCCGUGCGAGCCUGCGUACCCGGCGGCCGACCCGUGCGAGCCGUACCCUGCGCCGGAGCCGUGCGAGCCGUACGGCGAGGAGGAUCAGACGUACUGGGACAGCACGGAGCCGUACCCGAGCCGCCAAUGAGAGCAGCAUUGAGAGUACGCUGGCCACACUGGAGGCCAGCGUGCGUGGCGCCGUCGGCGGUCUGCGACGAAUGUACGGACGCCUGCUGGGCAGUCGUUCGGCACGGAGAGGCGCGCCCGAGCCGCCGAAUGGGCGCCGAAGCGGCAGCGGCAGUCGCAGCCGCAGCCGCAGCCGUCGCCGCCGCCGCCGUCGCCGCCACCGACCCGCCCACGAUCGGGUCGGCUCAGCCAGCAGCGGCGUCUCCUCCAUGUCAGAUGGGUCAGAGAGCGGAGUUAGCGACGAGUCGACGGUCAGCGGCGGUACGGAGCGCGGUCUGUCGGGCGCGGCCGAGCACGGCAAACGUCAAUACAGCACGACCGGGGGCCACGGCCCGCCGGAGCAUGACGGACGCGGCGGCUCCGCGGCGAUCAAUGCCGCGCCGCGAUACCGCCGCGCGCCAGAGGCCGGCGGCGAGCAGCACUCCCGCGGGGACCCGGCUCGGCCCUCGGCCGCCGGCACCGGCACGGCUCCUCCCGACCUCCGGCCGUGGCCGCCGCACGGCCGCCAGACCACGGCCGCGGCCAAGGUCGUGUCAGCGUCGUCAGUUCGUGGUGGUCUUCGAACCAGCAGCAGUGUACUUCAGCUGAGACCGGACGGACGUCCGUGGACGGGACCGCCCGCCCGCCCGACACUGGCGUGCUCUCAACACUGGCCGCGGGAUAAACCGGGCUUCUAUAGGGAGUCGUCCGUGAGGCUACCUGGAAAGGUCCUACCACAGAAAGCGCAUCCUUACCACUCACAGCCCCGGCCAGGCCCGGGAGGUCAGUGGCAGCCACGACAGUCGAUCUCACUAGAGAUGCAGCCUCUCCAACAACAGAAUGGCGCUCAAUUCGGAGGACCGUAUCAGCAGAAGGGCAUCGCUUUGGACACGCGCCACGCGCAGCAAGCAGCGAGGCGACCAACAGCAACAUAUUUCGGAGGGGAUCCUUCCGAAGGACGCGCCCUGCCUCGGGGGCCUGUUCAGUAUGCGGACCACGGCCAGCGCUCUGGUCCACCGACUGUGCCCCAGCCCCAGCGGCAGCAGCACGGGGCGCCGCCCUCCUGGGAUGGCUCUGAGCCACCCAAAGCUCGGGGAUGGGGUGGCACUGAGCCGCCGGACGGCACCGUCCUCUGGAGAUCCCCGCUCGCCUCCUGGGAGGAGCUGCAAGUGGACCAGAAGCUCAGGGCACCGCAGACCCGGCCGGCUGACGGUGUUCAAAUGCUCAAUUCGUAUCCCAGGAAUAUCACUGAGCCUCGACCGGCCGCUGUUGAUUGGAGGUCGCAGAACGAUGGUGGCCAGCGACGGGUCAGUUUCGCCGACAGGGGUGGACCGGUAACAGGCGGCGUGGGUCGACCGAGCGCGGCUGGCUCCACCGAGGUCAAUGGGUACCGCCUGGGGACAGAGCCGCCGAAUCGAGCUGCUCCUAUCGCCACUGAGCCCACUGAUAGUCGGUGGAGAAUGUUUGACACGUCAACGAGUUACGGCGGCACCGCGAAUGACGACAUAACUCAGCCAGCAGUGUUCGACAACAAAGGCAACGACGUGCUCAGACAUUCCAAAGCCCCGCGAACGUCAGGGGAUGUUCAAUCAUCCUCGCCAGAAGACAGUUCGAAAGCCUGGGAGGACAGUCAGAAUGGAGUCGUAGGUCUUCAGCGCGGCCCGUUCGACGGCCGAUGGAGCUAUUCUUCGUCGGCGACCGAUCCGCCGCGCCCCUCGACUGACGGUCAGCAGCAGUCCUUUGACAGAGCACCUUGGGAGGGCGCUGCGCCGGCCAGUUGGACCGGGGAGACCGAGAACGGCGAUCGCUGGUGGACCGACCCCGCCGCGGCGCAUAAACCGGCUUAUAUGACAACCGACGGCAUCGAAUAUGAACAGUGGGCGGAAAAUUACAACGAAUGGGGAGUUCCUCAACAACAGGAUAGUGUUACACACCAUGGUGCAGUUCAAGUCGGUGACAUGCAAUAUUUCGAGGAAGACCAACUUAUCAGCGACAGACCAAAACAAUGUUCAGUCACACUGACUCCGGGAACAGCUCUGAGCAGCGAAGGCUACACAUCAGCAAAUACUCAAUCGACGGAUGAAUUCAAAACGUAUACCAGAGCCAGUGACAUAUACGCUGAUAUGGGAGCCUAUCAACACCCAAGCAAAGAACUUGAGGACGAACUUGUGGACAUUGAAAACGAACAACAAAAGAACGCUCGAAAUUCAAUAACGUCUAUCGUCAGCAAAGGAUCAAUCAGGAAUGACGCGCCCCUGUCCCGGGAUACGGGCGCAGGUGUGGGUGUGGCACCGGCUGAUCGGGGCUCUCAGACAGCCGGUACAUCAGAGACCCGCCCGGGUCAGCCGACAGCGGAGGAUGUAUCACUGACCUGCCGGGAUCAGCCGACAGCAAAUACAUCAGUGACUGAUGGAGGCCAGGUGACAGCAAGUGCGACAGUAAUUGCAUCCACAGGAAAGGCUAUUGAUCAGUUGGACCAAGGAAGUGCAUUUGUGAUUCCCGGAAACCAGUCGACAACAGCAAAGCCAACUGCGGCUUCUGAGGUAAAGCUGACAGCCACUACGUCAGCAACUGUCGGGGACCUGUCGUCCAAACCGCCGAUCAUUCCUCGGCGCAGUUCGUCUGUGGACUGGAGGUGCUCGGCUGGGCGUGCAGUUCCUCCGACAGCCAGCGGCUCGAUCCGUUCCGUGCCGUCCGUACCCGGCGGUCCCUCGAGGGAGGGCGCCGCCACCGACUCCGCCGCCCUGGGAACCUCCGACGGACAGCGCCAGAACGGAACUCUGCCCAGCCACACGGAGCUGGCCGCCAAGGGGUGCUCAGUGACUAAUGAGGCCGCGCAACGAGACGAGCGGGGCCGGUCGGCAGUGAGAGCAGCCGCUCGACCGUCCCGGGCCCGCUCCGUACCCCUGCCCGACCCCGAGCUGCAGUAUAUUGACGACAGAUACGACUUUUAGCGGCGCGUCGGCCGGCCGACCGCCGGUCGACAGCCGGGAUUGAGCCGGUGAUCCAGUUACCCGGUGUCGGCUAACGCGAUAGGCGGCGCGGCGUGCGAUGACAGGAGCCGGAUCGGCCAGACGGCAGCAAUAUGAUCCACUUAUGGCCCGACCUGGACGACGGUAUUCUAUUCUCGUCACUGCGCAAAAGGUGGAAUAAUUCGGACAGGGACGAAUCGGAAACUUCGUCAAUGCGAUAUCUGUAAUUAUGACUGUGAUGUGAUGUAUCUGGCAGCUGUAACCCGCAUUGUGACACUGCAGGUUUGCUGUAAUGCGUAUUGAAGAAUGCAUGGAUUGCGUAGAUUGAUUGUGUUAUCGGCUUUGAAACGAUGACUGGUUGUCAAAUGAAAGUGUCUUUUUUUGCACGUCGCAGUAAAGUUUUUGCCUUUAUGGGAUCAUAUAGGCAAUGUUUAAGAUGGCCUGCAGGUUGAUGAAUAUAAUAAAUGUGUGUUUCUGAA